rnacentral:rRNA from 1 species
GACGAACGCUGGCGGCGUGCUUAACACAUGCAAGUCGAACGAUGAAGCCGCUUCGGUGGUGGAUUAGUGGCGAACGGGUGAGUAACACGUGGGUAAUCUGCCCUGCACUCUGGGAUAAGCCUUGGAAACGAGGUCUAAUACCGGAUACGACACAUGAAGGCAUCUUCUGUGUGUGGAAAGUUCCGGCGGUGCAGGAUGAGCCCGCGGCCUAUCAGCUUGGUGGUGGGGUAGUGGCCUACCCAGGCGACGACGGGUAGCCGGCCUGAGAGGGUGACCGGCCACACUGGGACUGAGACACGGCCCAGACUCCUACGGGAGGCAGCAGUGGAGAAUCUUGCGCAAUGGGCGAAAGCCUGACGCAGCAACGCCGCGUGGGGGAUGACGGCCUUCGGGUUGUAAACCUCUUUCGACAGGGACGAAGCUUUCGGGUGACGGUACCUGUAGAAGAAGCACCGGCUAACUACGUGCCAGCAGCCGCAGUAACAC